CGUUCACGUGUCCGCGCUGUCGCCUGUGAAGAUGACCCCGCACGCGAGCCUCGACGACGGCGCGUAUCCUGCGAAGGUCGAGGACAUUCCUGGACGCCCGUGACUGUCAACCACGCAACGUCGAACCGUGUUUAAUAUUAUAUGAUGACCACUGGCGACGGCCUUCCGAUGCGCCAGGACGCAGAGAACGUAUUGUACGAGUACUUUUACUCUGUUUGUUCGCAGUGUUCCAACUAUGUGGGUAUCAUUGUUUAAAAGUUCGUUUGCAAGUGGAAUUGAAGUGUACAAUUUAUCACUGACCAUUGUACGUCCCAUGUUUAAAUAUCUUCUACUUAGAUCUAGAACAACUCUUCUCAAUCCAAAUUCUUUUCCAUUAACUUGACCAAACGGUUCGUUUCGGGGACGACGUCAACGGGUCCGUCUCCGGCGGGUUAGUGCACAGUAAGCGUACGAUUUAACACGCUGCGGUGCUGUGCAUAAUGUGCGCACUCGACCGCCGCACACGGCACUGGCCGACGUACUGACGUACGCGAUUUUCAACUCCAACACGGGCCGACGGUUCGAACGGAUUUAUGCGCCGCAGAAGAAUAUCGUAAUCCGUAUAUACACAGUUGUACGUACGAUGUGCGCACGCAUGAAUAAGUGUACGUCAUCAACUACACCCUCGGCCGGAGGCGGAUUUAAUUUUUUUACGGAUAUAUGCACUAGAAAAUCGCUUUAAGUGUAUAAUAGUAUUCUGAUAGGUUUGAAAUUUUAAACAGUUUUUUUCUCGCUUCAGAUCAUUUAGCGGACUCCGAAAAACGUCCACCGAAUCCUAACGAAAACGCGUACAAUGAUGGUUAUUUACGGAUGGACCGUAAUUAGUAAGACCGUUGUUUGGACGGUUAAUAUUGCUUUAUUUAUCGAAACAUGAUAAGGCACUUUUUUUUUUCUUUCGUACAAACGAUGUACCUACUUUAAUAAAGCAUUACGAAAUUUACCCGCAACUGCCUAUCGACAAGUCGGCCUCUGCUCCCGGAGCUGCGCGUUGCCGUUUUCGUGCAAUACGUAUGUACUGCAUAAAAAAAAAGUCAGCGCACGGACGUAAUCCGAGCGAACGCGUUACGCAGCCCACCCGGUACCUCGAUUAUCGUUAUGAUACGCUCUCUAGCCUUCCGUGCCUUUUCGUCGACUUCAACCGAAUGCCUUCGAUAUAGUACGUUUAAUACACGCUCGCGUUCGAGUGCACGUGCUUUCAUGGCGUUCCGGUGCGUACACUGUUUAUUUUUAUUCGUGCCGCGUACCGGAUAUAUAAUACAUGGGCGAGCAUCAAUCGGUUUAAGUGAACGCGCGUAACGCCGAUGUAUAAUAACGAUCCGAGAAAAUCGCUAACGUUUGAUUGGCCGGUUAUAUUUUAAAUGAUACAUUUUUUUUUUUUCGCUCUCCUACUCGUCCAUUCGCUUUCUCUCUCACUCUCUCUUUCUCUCUCUCUCUCUCUCUCUCUCUCUCUCUCUCUCUCUCUCUCUAGAUCUCGUACCGUACGCGACUUUCAUUUCAUACGACCCUUUUAGGUCGAUUAGAGUUUAAAAAUUAAUAUUUUCAAACCACUAAUAUACGAGUUGCGCGAUUUUCGUGUGCAUUACACGUGUUCGUACGAAAAGUAAAAAUAUCAACGCGGCGCGUUCUAAAAAUACAACAACCAACAAUUGUUGUACGCAGCAGAGUAUGUGUGCAUACAUACACAAGGUUCGAGAGCACGUAAACAUUGCGUUGGCAUUUUAAACGAACGAGUAUUAAACGAAUGCGUUGAUGGAUUGAGUUCGAACUGCAAAACCGCAAAGUUUAUACUGCGGUCCGCAAACGUUUGUCUCGUACGGAACACCGGGAUUCGCGAUUUAAUUACGAGUAGUGCUCGCGAUUGUAAAACCGCCCGAAAACGAUCGCGAGUGAAUUUAACACGAUCCGCGACGCGUACACGGAAAUAUUGUGUAAGCCGUAGCGUGGAGUGAUUCAUUGAGAUCGAGACGCGCUCGUAAUGCAUUAACUUAGAACAGGGUCUUAGCCGAUCAUCUCGUAUGUGAGAGGUGAACCUUGAUUGUUGUUUAUGAAUUCGUUUCAAACGAUCUCGUACCGAUUUAAACAAUCGUCAACACUUUUACAUACGGGCCCACGUACAUCACACGUGACUGCGAUGAAUUCAUCGAGCACCAAAAAUACACUCUUCAUAAUAUCCUACAAUUAAUGUGUACCAAAGUGUAUAAUUCGUUCGUAUACAUGUGUGUGUACAACAUCCGUGCAACAUCGAGCGUGUGCGAUAAAUAAUGUGUUCCUUCCCGCCGUCCACGACGCGAUGCUUUCAUUGCUGUACUGCACGCGUAUACGUUAUACCCACGAACACGACUCGGACUCGGUAAGUCGCAGUGAAUAAUAGAUAUUUUUCUGGCUUAUGGACCCUGCGCUUCGCCAAAUGCGAUUGACACAAUAACUCUCGGGCGUACACACCGUGUGUCGCGUCAAAGGCUUUGGGAGGUGUACGAGACGAGAAAUCCUGUUUGGCCGCGAACCAAAUGUUUUAAGUAUAGAAAAAUGUUAACUACACCCGCGCGGCAACCUCACGUGAUGUCGCAUCUCACGCGCGGUCGUGCCCAGCAGAAAUCCAAUUCGUUUCGGCGCACAUCGGACACAUCUGUAUCAACGUUAACGAUGAGAAAAAAAUUCUCCCGAGGUACGGACAAAACAACCUAUCACCAUAGUGUUUUUGACACGUGUACAAUAUACGACGUUUUCGUACGAAUUUUAUCUGUCCCACGUGCCGACUCAUAACGUCACCAAUACAUUAUUGUACGUCCCGCAAUUGAAUUAUCGAUGUCAAUUAUUCGCCGUCCUGUAUUAACAGUUAUUUUAUCACCUUCAGAUGUCGUCGGGAUGUAAAGCCAAGACGUGUAAAUGAUCGCGUACGUGCACCAACCAAUACGGUGCUGCUCGUCGCCCCGUUUCAUAAUUUAUAUCGUUCGUACAAUCGACUCUUCGCGGGCAUGACGUCUCCUAACGUUUUACGAUGUCGACGCGCGUACGCCACUACUACGGUUUAAAAUGUACGAUGUUUGCGCCUGCGAAACUGUUCCGUUCUAAUAACGUCUUCUUCGUUGGACGUGCGCCGCGAACGGUCGAAGGACUUCUGCGGCAAAACUCGUGGUUUGCGCAACGUUCAAAAGUCGCCGUCGCAACGAACACCACGUGAGAACCUAAACGCACGUAAAGUUUACACAAACGCGACCGGACGGUGCGCAAAUCGUUUUCGGGCCGUGCGCAAGUGUACGAUUCGGAAAACCGAAAAAAAUCACUUCCGAGUUGACGCCCAAUGUUGAGAUUGUUUCGACUACACAAUAAUACUCGCGGUACGCGUUCUCGUCGUUUACUGUUUACGCGUAGGUGUUUCCUAGUUUUUUCCAGACGCUGUUCUUACACGAUACGAUGAUCGUUUCGUGCAACCGUUCUUCGCGCGAGAAAAACUGAUCGUGGAAAAAGUGAAACUGCACGAAAACGUUUGUCUUCUCGUGCGGGGUAACUUGGAAGGUACGAACAACACGCUCGAGCGUGUGAUAAAACGAUUGGAAAUGCGAGCGACAGAACUCGAGUUGACCAAAGUUGAUCUACCCUAAUCGGUGCGAACCGUACCGACAGGCCAUACGUGCACGAUUGAUAUGCGUAGUUUGCGAACCGUUUCGGCACGUUAUGCUCUCCCUUCCGGCUCGCAGAAAAAAGAAAAGAAAACUUUUCGCUGUCCACGCGUUUUGAUUAAAUGCGUGUAAAAUGUAAAUGUACUUCACGGGCGAACGCGAGAAUUUCGACGGUUUAAAUAUUUCUAACGACCGCUCGUGUUCGAGUCCGCGCCGCGCAUAGGUAUAUUCGUAUAACACUACAGCCCAGGCCCAUGCGCAGGAAUCUUUCAAAGGGGAGGUGAGAUAUCCAUGAUCAAAAUUAUCAAGAUCGAAAAACGAUAAAUGUCAACAAAUGUCCGAACGGAUUGAACAGCUGACUGGUUAGUGAAAAUGAGUUCUGUCGAUUGCUGCAUUUACAGCGGUAGUCGACAGUAGAUGAAAAAGGUGCGAACAUUUAAAAGAGAAAAGUGCGUUAAAUCGAAAAAAUUGACACUGUUAAAACAAAAAUAGACUAUCAUGUAAUAAUUUUCAAAACAGUUUGACUUUUAUAGAACGAGGACUAGGUAUAUCCUUAGUAAAAAUGUACGAUGUAAGAUCCUCAUUGCGGGAGGUUUAGAUCCUUCAAACCCCUCCCCCUUGCGCACUGACCUGAUACAGCCAUAUGUUGCCUUAUUACAAUCGUCGACGAAAUCAUCGUUCUGUUUCAGACAUUAAUAUAUUGUAACCGACUUCCGAGUCAAUAUUAUUAUAUAUAUAUUAUAUUGCGCCCAUGUAACUGCGCGUGAUGUUAUUUUUAGGAAUAAUUUUAUGAUUUCAUGUACUGUUAAAAAUACGUGUGUUUUUAAUUAUUUUUUUCGGUACGUCUAAGCUGCAACAGUGUCCGACGGUAGGCAUAACUCAUUGCGCGCAUAUGGCACGAUAAUGCGCAUAAUAAUAAUACUAUCAUAGUUUUAUCGGAUCUAUAAUUUAUGGAACGGAUGAACGGAGAGAGUUUCACUGACUCCUGCACGUAUCGACCCGGUGACACUGGUGUAAUACGCAACUAUUAUGUCCUGGGUAAUAAUAUGCAACAUUUCAUCGAUAACGUUACGUGCGUUUUUCUCGAUUCAUUACUAUAUUUUGUGCAAGUAUACUGCAAUAGUUGCAUAUAAAUAUAUGUACUGAAUACCAACAGGUGACUGGAUUUGUAAUCGUCUUUUGCAACGAUUUUUUUUUAUUUCUAAUAAUUUUUUCCUAUUGUGUUUGUAGGUACAGAAAUAAUAAUUAUUUUUU